GCUUUCCAAGCAGGUCGGGCUGCCAAGCCCCAUCCGGGCCCCUGCUGGAGCCGAACAGCGGCCGCGCUGGCCGUCCCCAGUGCCCUCUUCCCCGACGUGAGCACUGCCCUCUACUCUCUGCUUCCUGUCUGCCAUGAGUCUGAACCAAGCGCAAGCUGCCCCGACCUUGGAGCACAAGAACUACAACUUCCAGAGUGCCCACUAAGGAGCCUGGGCAGAGAGCGGAGGUUCAACGCGACACACGCCGGGAAUUGAGGUCCAGCCAUAGCACCUCCCCCCCCCC